UAGGGAAUCUUCCGCAAUGGGCGAAAGCCUGACGGAGCAACGCCGCGUGAGUGAUGAAGGUCUUCGGAUCGUAAAACUCUGUUAUUAGGGAAGAACAAAUGUGUAAGUAACUAUGCACGUCUUGACGGUACCUAAUCAGAAAGCCACGGCUAACUACGUGCCAGCAGCCGCGGUAAUACGUAGGUGGCAAGCGUUAUCCGGAAUUAUUGGGCGUAAAGCGCGCGUAAGCGGUUUUUUAAGUCUGAUGUGAAAGCCCACGGCUCAACCGUGGAUGGUCAUUGGAAACUGGAAUACUUGAGUGCAGAAGAGGAAAGUGGGAUUCCAUGUGUAGCGGUGAAAUGCGCAGAGAUAUGGAGGAACACCAGUGGCGAAGGCGACUUUCUGGUCUGUAACUGACGCUGAUGUGCGAAAGCGUGGGGAUCAAACAGG
rnacentral:rRNA from 1 species